AUUGCUAGUUACCAUCAUUAAGUUGGGGACGUCUAGCGAGACUGCCAGUGAUAAACUGGAGGAAGGUGGGGAUGACGUCAAAUCAUCAUGCCCCUUAUGACCUGGGCUACAAACGUGAUACAAUGGCUGGAACAGAGGGCAGCGAAGCAGUGAUGUGAAGCGAAACCCAAAAAUACAGUCUCAGUUCGGAUUGAAGUCUGCAACUCGACUUCAUGAAGUUGGAAUCGCUAGUAAUCGCGGAUCAGAACGCCGCGGUGAAUACGUUCUCGGGGUUU
rnacentral:rRNA from 1 species